rnacentral:rRNA from 1 species
UACAGAGGUGGCAAGCGUUGUUCGGAAUUACUGGGCGUAAAGGGCGCGUAGGCGGCCUUCUAAGUCAGACGUGAAAUCCCCAGGCUUAACUUGGGAACUGCGUCUGAUACUGGGAGGCUUGAGUGCGGGAGAGGGAUGUGGAAUUCCAGGUGUAGCGGUGAAAUGCGUAGAUAUCUGGAGGAAUACCGGUGGCGAAGGCGGCAUCCUGGACCGGCAUUGACGCUGAGGAGCGAAAGCUAGGGGAGCAAACGGG